GAAUGCUGACAUAAGUAACGAUAAAGCGGGUGAAAAGCCCGCUCGCCGGAAGACCAAGGGUUCCUGUCCAACGUUAAUCGGGGCAGGGUGAGUCGACCCCUAAGGCGAGGCCGAAAGGCGUAGUCGAUGGGAAACGGGUUAAUAUUCCCGUACUUGGUGUUACUGCGAAGGGGGGACGGAGAAGGCUAUGUUGGCCGGGCGACGGUUGUCCCGGUUUAAGCGUGUAGGCU
rnacentral:rRNA from 4 species